rnacentral:rRNA from 1 species
ACGCUCGACACCUACGGGAGGCAGCAGUGGGGAAUAUUGCACAAUGGGGGAAACCCUGAUGCAGCGACGCCGCGUGAGCGAAGAAGUAUCUCGGUAUGUAAAGCUCCAUCAGCAGGGAAGAAAAUGACGGUACCUGACUAAGAAGCCCCGGCUAACUACGUACCAGCAGCCGCGGUAAUCUGAGCGGGCUGGCAAGGC